AUGCGGAACGACACCAGCGAGUUCAUGGACCUGUGCAUGCUGCGGAAAUGCUCGUCCAGCUACCGCAUCAUCACUGCCAAGGACCACGCGCCAUCCAGAUGAACGUGGCCGAGGCUGACACGGUGACAGGCACGUUCAACGGCGAGUUUAAAACCUGUGCUAUCUGCGGGGCCAUUCACAGGAUGGGUGAGUCAGAUGAUUCCAUUCUCCGACUGGCCAAGACCGAUGGCACCGUCUCAAAGAACUUCUGACUGGAGAGGAUCACAGAUGUGGAGUAUAUGUCAUAAAUAAAUAGUGAAAACC